rnacentral:tRNA from 1 species
GCCCCGUAGGUCAGCAUGGUAGACCACCGGCCCGCAAAGCCGGAAGUCGCAGGUUCGAGUCCCGCCGGGGGCU